rnacentral:rRNA from 1 species
AGGAUCAUUAUCGUGUAAUUCAGUCAUGCUACUGCAUGAGCAAUAUUUAAGCCCACUUUUCGGGCAUUUUCCUGUUGCUUUAUUUUUCCUAUGCAAGAUAACAUCUCCUUCCACAGAGAUAAGUCUUGAAAGGAAAAAGAGGGCCCGUCCGGAGUUUUAAAUAGUCUUAAAAAAAUUUUAAAAAAAAAAAUCAAUUUAAAAAAACUUUCAGCAACGGAUCUCUUGGUUCUCGCAUCGAUGAAGAACGCAGCGAAAUGCGAUAAGUAGUGUGAAUUGCAGAAUUCAGUGAAUCAUCGAAUCUUUGAACGCACAUUGCGCCUCCUGGUAUUCUGGGGGGCAUGCCUGUUCGAGAGUCAUUUACAACAAUUUCGAAUCCCCCCACCUUCAGUUUGUGUGUGGGGGUGAAUCGGUUUUGGUUGAGGAGAGAGACUAACUACUCUCCCUCCCCACCAAAAUUCAUAGGCAGUCUGUGUUUUUGUAAACCUUGGAUAUGUUUAUGGCGUUGUAAACGGGAGGUUUCUCCUUCAUUGGGAAGGUGGCCCACUUUUCGCCUGUAGCAAAUUUGAGAAAUACUUGGACUAGCCUUCAAGAAUAUAAAAAAAAAUCCCCAUGGUUUUUUAUAUAUAUAUUUCAAAGGUUGACCUCGGAUCAGGUAGGGAUACCCGCUGAACUUAAGCAUAUCAAUAAGCGGAGGAAAAGAAACCAACCGGGAUUGCCUUAGUAACUGCGAGUGAAGUGGCAAAAGCUCAAAAUUGAAAUCCGGUACCUUUGGUGCCUGAGUUGUAAUUUGGAGAGACAAAUUUGGUUGAUGGUACCGGCCUAGGUUCCUUUGAACAGGACGACAUAGAGGGUGAGAAUCCCGUGCCUGGCUGGGUUAUUUGCUGUCACACGCUAAAUUGUCUUCGACGAGUCGAGUUGUUUGGGAAUGCAGCUCAAAAUGGGUGGUAAAUGUCAUCUAAAGCUAAAUAUUGGCGAGAGACCGAUAGCGCACAAGUAGAGUGAUCGAAAGAUGAAAAGCACUUUGAAAAGAGAGUCAAAAAGUACGUGAAAUUGCUGAAAGGGAAGCGCUUGAGAUCAGACUCGAGCUGUGGUGAUCACCCGUGCUUCUGUGCGGUGUAACUUGCCACGGUUUGGGCCAGCAUCGGUUCUGGCGGUCGGAUAAAAGGUGGAGGAAUGUAGCUUCCCUCGGGGAGUGUUAUUUAGCCUCCACCACAAUGCGGCCAGCUGGGACCGAGGACUGCGUGGAAAU